UUCCUCCGAGCGCAUCUAGGAAUUGUCGGAACAUUUUAGCAGUGGACGAUGAAUCACGGAAACGGGACCUUCCUCGGCGCCUGCGAUCACGCGACGUGUUCCUAGCUUAGGAGUCCUAGGUCACUCGAGCCACCGCUGGACCACGUGCAUUUUAUUUCGGGCGCAAUUUCGGUUGGGUUGUUGGGUGUAGAAGGAUCGUCACCAUCGGGUCGUUUUCACUGUAGCUGCACCGCUUUGGUGCACACGAACGUCGCGAAUACUGACAGAGGACUCGAGGUGGCGUGAUAAGAAGCGAAUUCUACCGCGAUAAGUCGACGAAUAUCUAUAGAUAUAAGAUACUGAGUCCCAGGGACGGAUAAACAAGCAAGUCGAAGUUGUUUCAAGGGCAGAAUGAAUUUCUCCACCUAAUGUGGCACCCCUUGGGAUCCAGUUACAUCAGCACCGAGGAGGCACCGGUUCCCAGGAGAACCGGUGAGACCCAGCGGAUUUUCAGCGAAUGUACACCGCGGAGCUUCAAUCAGAAGAGUACGCGUCCCGUAUACAUAGCUGUAAAGGUUCAUCGAACCUCGCUGCACGUACGGGUUCUCGACCAAUAAUAAAGAUGCAUGCCCGGUACCUAACUACGUUCUAUACAUACGUACGGUGUUCGGAGAAGAAUUAUCGAAGGCGCGGAGAACCAUUUCUUGUGGCAGAAGUCGUUUGUCAAUUUGGAUUGGGAGGAGAUGGAGGAGAUAGUAGGCGGAGGUUAUGUUCCGGAUACAUUGUUGCGUAAGUGUCGCGUGGCUAUGGAAGAGUAGAUAGUAACCUGUAGUAAGUAUAUUUAUAAUACAGUGACUAUAUCGCAUUAGGUGUAGGUACUAUGAAGUGGCUGUAUUGUAGUAAGUGUAUUUAUUGUAAAAUGUUGUGAAGUAUUUUUAGUGGAAAAAAUUGUUUUACGUAGGCUAAUAUGCUAGGAAAUAAUUGAGAUAAAAGUUUCAAAUUUGUAGGGAUGUUUCCUAUUAUUAUAAGUAACAUCUCGACCAAAUCAUUCCAUCAAUUUUCACCAGAGAUAUAAAAUUGAAAGUAACCAAUUGACCAAAGUUUCAUGAAGCUUUACCAUAAAUAGUUUCAUAAUAGCAAGGUUGAUGUAUAAGGAAAUAAUUGAGAUAAAAUUCUGAAAUAUUUAUGCCUUCUUCCCAUCUUUAUAACUAAUAACUAUGCCAAGUUUCAAAUCGUUUCAUCAUUUAUUACCCGAGUUACAAAAUUAAAAGUAACCGAUUGACAAAUAUUCCAUGAAGCUUUACCUCAAAUAGAUUCAUAUUUGCAAGGCUGAUUUACAAAGAAAUAAUUACGAUAAAAAUCUGUAAUUUUUAAAGUUUCUUCCUGUUAUUAUAAGUAACAACUCUACCUAGUUUCAAAUCAUUCCAUCAAUUUUCACCAGAGUUAUAAAAUUAAAACUAACCAAUUGACAAAAGUUUCAUGAAGCUUUACCAUAAAUUACUUCAUGUUUACAAGACUGGUGUAUAGGGAAAUAAUUGAGAUAAAAAUCUGUAAUUUUUAGGGCUUCUUCCUAUUAGUCUAAGUAACAACUGUACCUAGUUUCAAGUCGUUCCAUCAAUUUUCAUUGGAGUUGGAAAAUUAAAAGUAACUGAUUGACAAAUAUUCCAUGAAGCUUUACCACAAGUAGAUUCAUUUUUGCAAGGCUGAUUUACAAAGAAAUAAUUGAAAUAAAAAUUUGCAUUUUUUAGGGCUUCUUCCUAUUAUUGUAAGUAGUAACUCUGCCAAGUUUCAAAUCUUUUCCAACAAAUUGACAACAAUUUCAUUGAGAUUUGCCUUAAAUAGUUUAAUAUUUACUGGAAUCUACUUCAAGAACUAAACACGAUAAAAAUUUGAAAUUUUUCUGCCAAAUUUCCAAUCACUCCAUCAUCAAUUAUUACCAGAAAAAUCGUUUGUCAAU